CACUUUACAGUGGUGGAUGCAGUAAGGGCAAAAUGCGAUUUUUGUAAAACUACUCUGUCUUACAAAGGUGGAGGUACAUCCAAUUUACGAAAGCAUCUCCUUGUUAAGCAUCCAUCAAUUGAGUUAUCGCAAACAACAUCGGUAAGAAACGAUGAACAUGCCACAAUGGCCCCUGAACAUAGUACGUCAUCAGCUACAAAACAAACGAGGCUCAGCAACUACACGCAACCAAAAUUAUCAAAAGAAAUGGUAACAGCUUUAAAUAAGAAGCUACUGCAAAUGAUAGUGAAAGACUUUCAACCGUUCCCCAUUGUCGAGGACGUUGGCUUUAAAAACUUCAUCAGUGAGCUG